rnacentral:rRNA from 1 species
UUGAAUGUCGACAGAGUUUGAUCCUGGCUCAGGACGAACGCUGNCGGCGUGCCUAAUACAUGCAAGUCGAGCGGAACCUUUGGAGCUUGCUCCAUNGGUUUAGCGGCGGACGGGUGAGUAACACGUGGGCAACCUGCCCUGCAGAUCGGGAUAACUCCGGGAAACCGGUGCUAAUACCGAAUAGUUUGUUUCACCUCCUGGUGAAGCACGGAAAGACGGUUUCGGCUGUCACUGCAGGAUGGGCCCGCGGCGCAUUAGCUAGUUGGUGGGGUAAUGGCCCACCAAGGCGACGAUGCGUAGCCGACCUGAGAGGGUGAUCGGCCACACUGGGACUGAGACACGGCCCAGACUCCUACGGGAGGCAGCAGUAGGGAAUCUUCCGCAAUGGACGCAAGUCUGACGGAGCAACGCCGCGUGAGUGACGAAGGUUUUCGGAUCGUAAAACUCUGUUGUGAGGGAAGAACACGUACCAAGUAACUACUGGUACCUUGACGGUACCU